GAUGAACGCUAGCGGCAGGCCUAAUACAUGCAAGUCGAACGGUGUCUUCGGACAUAGUGGCGCACGGGUGCGUAACACGUAUGCAACCUACCUUACAUUGGGGGAUAGCCUUUCGAAAGGGAGAUUAAUACCGCAUAAGACAGUAGCUGGGCAUCCAGCAGCUGUUAAAGAUUUAUCGAUGUAAGAUGGGCAUGCGUCCAAUUAGUUAGUUGGCGAGGUAACGGCUCACCAAGACUUUGAUUGGUAGGGGAACUGAGAGGUCAAUCCCCCACACUGGCACUGAGAUACGGGCCAGACUCCUACGGGAGGCAGCAGUAGGGAAUAUUGGGCAAUGGACGCAAGUCUGACCCAGCCAUGCCGCGUGCAGGAUGAAGGCGUUAUGCGUUGUAAACUGCUUUUAUACAGGAAGAAACGACUCUUGCGGGAGGCAUUGACGGUACUGUAUGAAUAAGCACCGGCUAACUCCGUGCCAGCCGCCGCAGUAAUAC
rnacentral:rRNA from 1 species